rnacentral:rRNA from 1 species
CCUACGGGUGGCAGCAGUGGGGAAUAUUGGACAAUGGGCGAAAGCCUGAUCCAGCCAUGCCGCGUGUGUGAAGAAGGCCUUCGGGUUGUAAAGCACUUUCAGUGGGGAAGAAAGCCUUGGGGCUAAUACCCUCGAGGAAGGACAUCACCCACAGAAGAAGCACCGGCUAACUCCGUGCCAGCAGCCGCGGUAAUACGGAGGGUGCGAGCGUUAAUCGGAAUUACUGGGCGUAAAGCGCGCGUAGGCGGUCUGAUAAGCCGGUUGUGAAAGCCCCGGGCUCAACCUGGGAACGGCAUCCGGAGCUGUCAGGCUAGAGUGCAGGAGAGGAAGGUAGAAUUCCCGGUGUAGGGGUGAAAUGCGUAGAGCUCGGGAGGAAUACCAGUGGCGAAGGCGGCCUUCUGGACUGACACUGACGCUGGGGUGCGAAAGCGUGGGUAGCAAACAGGAUUAGAUACCGAGUAGUC